GAUGAACGCUGGCGGCGUGCCUAAUACAUGCAAGUAGAACGCUGAAGGAGGAGCUUGCUCUUUCCGGAUGAGUUGCGAACGGGUGAGUAACGCGUAGGUAACCUGCCUGGUAGCGGGGGAUAACUAUUGGAAACGAUAGCUAAUACCGCAUAACAGUAGAUAUUGCAUGAUAUUUGCUUGAAAGGGGCAAUUGCUCCACUACCAGAUGGACCUGCGUUGUAUUAGCUAGUUGGUGAGGUAACGGCUCACCAAGGCGACGAUACAUAGCCGACCUGAGAGGGUGAUCGGCCACACUGGGACUGAGACACGGCCCAGACUCCUACGGGAGGCAGCAGUAGGGAAUCUUCGGCGAUGGACGGAAGUCUGACCGAGCAACGCCGCGUGAGUGAAGAAGGUUUUCGGAUCGUAAAGCUCUGUUGUAAGAGAAGAACGAGUGUGAGAGUGGAAAGUUCACACUGUGACGGUAUCUUACCAGAAAGGGACGGCUAACUACGUG
rnacentral:rRNA from 1 species